CAAGCGUUACUNGGAAUCACUGGGCGUAAAGGACGCGUAGGCGGAUUAUCAAGUCUCUUGUGAAAUCUAACGGCUUAACCGUUAAACUGCUUGGGAAACUGAUAAUCUAGAGUAAGGGAGAGGCAGAUGGAAUUCUUGGUGUAGGGGUAAAAUCCGUAGAUAUCAAGAAGAAUACCUAUUGCGAAGGCGAUCUGCUGGAACUUAACUGACGCUAAUGCGUGAAAGCGUGGGGAGCAAACAGGAUUAGAUACCCUGGUAGUCCACGCCCUAAACGAUGUAUACCGGUUGUUGCUGUGCUAGUCACGGCAGUAAUCCACCUAACGGAUUAAGUAUACCGCCUGGGGAGUACGGUCGCAAGAUUAAAACUCAAAGGAAUAGACGGGGACCCGCACAAGCGGUGGAGCAUGUGGUUUAAUUCGAAGAUACGCGAAGAACCUUACCCGGACUUGAUAUCUAACAAAUCAUCCAGAGAUGGAAGAGUGUCUGCUUGCAGAAAUGUUAAGACAGGUGCUGCACGGCUGUCGUCAGCUCGUGUCGUGAGAUGUUGGGUUAAGUCCCGCAACGAGCGCAACCCACGUCAUUAGUUGCUAACGGUUCGGCCGAGCACUCUAAUGAGACUGCCUUCGUAAGGAGGAGGAAGGUGUGGACGACGUCAAGUCAUCAUGGCCCUUAUGUCCGGGGCGACACACGUGCUACAAUGGCAUAUACAAUAAGACGCAAUAUCGUAAGAUGGAGCAAAUCUAAAAAAUAUGUCCCAGUUCGGAUUGGAGUCUGCAACUCGACUCCAUGAAGCCGGAAUCGCUAGUAAUCGUAGAUCAGCCAUGCUACGGUGAAUACGUUCCCGGGUCUUGUACUCACCGCCCGUCACACCAUGGGAGUUGAUUU
rnacentral:rRNA from 1 species